rnacentral:rRNA from 1 species
GGUGCUAAUACCGCAUCAACCGGCUGACCGCAUGGUCGGCCGGGCAAAGACGGCGUCAGCUGUCGCUUUUGGAUGAGCCCGCGGCGUAUUAACUAGUUGGUAAGGUAACGGCUUACCAAGGUGAUGAUACGUAGCCGAACUGAGAGGUUGAUCGGCCACAUUGGGACUGAGACACGGCCCAAACUCCUACGGGAGGCAGCAGUAGGGAAUCUUCCACAAUGGACGCAAGUCUGAUGGAGCAACGCCGCGUGUAUGAAGAAGGUCUUCGGAUCGUAAAAUACUGUUGUCAGAGAAGAACACGUGAUAGAGUAACUGCUAUGACGCUGACGGUAUCUGACCAGCAAGUCACGGCUAACUACGUGCCAGCAGCCGCGGUAAUACGUAGGUGGCAAGCGUUGUCCGGAUUUAUUGGGCGUAAAGGGAACGCAGGCGGUCUUUUAAGUCUGAUGUGAAAGCCUUCGGCUUAACCGGAGAAGUGCAUUGGAAACUGGAAGACUUGAGUGCAGAAGAGGAGAGUGGAACUCCAUGUGUAGCGGUGAAAUGCGUAGAUAUAUGGAAGAACACCAGUGGCGAAAGCGGCUCUCUGGUCUGUAACUGACGCUGAGGUUCGAAAGCGUGGGGAGCGAACAGGAUUAGAUACCCUGGUAGUCCACGCUGUAAACGAUGAAUGCUAGGUGUUGGAGGGUUUCCGCCCUUCGGUGCCGCAGCUAACGCACUAAGCAUUCCGCCUGGGGAGUACGAUCGCAAGAUUGAAACUCAAAGGAAUUGACGG